UAUUUUAAAAAAUGGUUAAAAUCUCUGGUGGAUGCAGAGACUCGCGCACACGUGACCGCACAUUCGACAAUAUUAAUGAGACAUGUUAAACGUUUAAAUUAUAUUAUAGGCAUUAAUAAUGUGUAAAUAAACGGCAUGAUAAAAGGUGAUAUUAAAUUAUGUGAUUUACAAUUGUUUUGUUUUAUAAACCAAGCCAAUCUCAACGCAACAAGAUUUAACCAAUGGCGUGUUGUGGGGCGUGGCUACACUGGCUAGUACAACCACGUUGCCUGUGCUGUGAUUGUCUGGACUGUGACAGUACGAAACAUUUGAUGAUGAAAUUCAACACAAAACACAGGGACCACGUGACGCAGCCAAAAAAUGGUUCUUUCAUCAACUUUGAAGACUUGAUCUUCGUCAUCAGAUUGUGUUCUUCUCCCAUCCACAAAGACCGCAAACAAAACCACACAAACAAGAAGAAACUUUGACUCAGACUACAUGAAGGUUCAUCACAUGUGUUUGAGACGUGAGGUUCUAAAGGUUCUGCCGGUGUGACAGCUGAAGAACCUUAAAAAAGGUCUUGUGUUUUGGGUUUCUACUGGAUGGCCUGUGUGUUCCUCUAUAGCAGAACUGAUAAAACAUCGCAUCAGCAGCACAAAGGUCACGGGUUUGAAUCCCAGAGAGCGCAGAAACCGAUCAAAAAAAGAGUAGAUUUCAAAUGCACUGUAUGUCACUUUACAUGGAGUAUAAAUGUGAGCAUCUGAUUUCUGAAGAAUAAGCAUUGAAGUCAAUUACAGUCCUGAAAAUCUUCUACAACAUCCUAAAAGUUUGAUUCAGGUGGACGUCAAUCCACAUAGAGAAGUCAGCGUGUUACACAAAGGUUUAAGAUCAA